rnacentral:rRNA from 1 species
CGGCGGUGUUUGGCACCUCGAUGUCGGCUCAUCACAUCCUGGGGCUGAAGUAGGUCCCAAGGGUAUGGCUGUUCGCCAUUUAAAGUGGUACGCGAGCUGGGUUUAGAACGUCGUGAGACAGUUCGGUCCCUAUCUGCCGUGGGCGCUGGAGAACUGAGGGGGGCUGCUCCUAGUACGAGAGGACCGGAGUGGACGCAUCACUGGUGUUCGGGUUGUCAUGCCAAUGGCACUGCCCGGUAGCUAAAUGCGGAAGAGAUAAGUGCUGAAAGCAUCUAAGCACGAAACUUGCCCCGAGAUGAGUUCUCCCUGAGACUUAGAGUCUCCUGAAGGAACGUUGAAGACGACGACGUUGAUAGGCCGGGUGUGUAAGCGCAGCGAUGCGUUGAGCUAACCGGUACUAAUGAACCGUGAGGCUUAACCUUAC